AUGCCCUCUGAUUUUGAGACUAGUGUUAAAGAAUUUAUGAAUUUGCAAAAUAAUUUCAAUGCUUUGCUUGAAGAAAAGUUGCUUAAGAUUGAUGAGUUGGCUAGGAACAUGGAUAGAAUUUCUCUUGAUGUUGACUCUUUGAAACUGAGAUCUAUUCCACCUAAGCAUGAUAUCAAUGAGUCUCUCAAAGCCAUGAGAAUUUCCAUUGAUGAGUGCAAAGAAAGAACCUCUAGGAUGCGUGCUAAAAAGGAUUGCUUUGUGAAAGCGUGUUCUUCUAAUUUUCAUGAUAAUAAGGAUGAAGAUAUAAAAGUGAUUGAUGUGUCUCCUAUUAAAUCUUUGUUUUCUAAUAUGAAUCUUGAUAAAGAUGGGACUGGAGAUUAG
rnacentral:rRNA from 1 species